GGGAUAGCUCGGCGAAAGCCGGAUUAAUACCGCAUAAGCUCUGAGGAGGAAAGCGGGGGACCGUAAGGCCUCGCGCGUUUGGAGCGGCCGAUGGCAGAUUAGGUAGUUGGUGGGGUAAAGGCUUACCAAGCCUACGAUCUGUAGCUGGUCUGAGAGGACGACCAGCCACACUGGGACUGAGACACGGCCCAGACUCCUACGGGAGGCAGCAGUGGGGAAUUUUGGACAAUGGGCGAAAGCCUGAUCCAGCAAUGCCGCGUGCAGGAUGAAGGCCUUCGGGUUGUAAACUGCUUUUGUACGGAACGAAAAGGCGCCUACUAAUACUGGGUGUUGAUGACGGUACCGUAAGAAUAAGCACCGGCUAACUACGUGCCAGCAGCCGCGGUAAUACGUAGGGUGCGAGCGUUAAUCGGAAUUACUGGGCGUAAAGCGUGCGCAGGCGGUGUUGUAAGACAGUUGUGAAAUCCCCGGGCUCAACCUGGGAACUGCAUCUGUGACUGCAAUGCUGGAGUGCGGCAGAGGGGGAUGGAAUUCCGCGUGUAGCAGUGAAAUGCGUAGAUAUGCGGAGGAACACCGAUG
rnacentral:rRNA from 1 species